GAAAGGGCCAGGGUGGUGGUUUUAACAUAAUAUGGUAAGAAAUACAUGAUUGUGUUCCUGACACUAUAGUGCUCCUUUAACCCCUUAAGGACACAUGACAUGUGUGACAUGUCAUGAUUCCCUUUUAUUCCAGAAGUUUGGUCCUUAAGGGGUUAAGCAAGAGUAUGUGAAGAGUAGUUAAGGUUGCCACCUUUCUUGGAAAAAAAUACCAGCCUUAAUCAUUUGUAUAAUUAAUUAGUUAUGCGUGUAAAUCACAAGGAGUAACAUUCUGUAAAAUCACCAACAAACUACUCACAGUUUGAUUCUGCUGUAUAGAUGGAUUGCUCCCAGUGUCUCCCAGUAUCUCAGUCUCGCAAGUCACCC